GCUGGUUCGUUUCCUCUCCCUUCUUCCGAUGGUCCGUUCAACUCCAUCGCCAAACCUUUCACAAUCCCCUUUCUCUCUUCCUUUAUUUUCCGGUUAACGCUUCACCAAAUUUACGGGCCAAUCUGAAUUUGAGUGCUGUAUAUCGUUUGGGGGACUGGUUGGAUGUUGGAAGGGUCAAUCUGAAUUUGAGUGCUGUAUAUUGUUUGGGGGAGGUGGGAUGUUGGAAGGUUUAUUCACUCUCUGCAUUAUAAUUUUGGUCUAGCUGCUCCUGGAGAAGUUGGGUUAAAUGUAGCUUGGUUGUCACUUCAAUUGGGCAUAGAAUUCACUAUAAGUUUUUUCAUGUCUGGGUCUUUGAUGGACUGCAAUAAAGAAGAGGCCUUAAGGGCCAAGGACAUUGCUGAAAAGAAGAUGGAAAACAAGGAUUUUGUGGGGGCUCGUAAAAUUGCUCUAAAAGCUCAGCAGCUAUACCCUGAUCUGGAAAAUAUAGCUCAAAUGCUUGUUGUUUGUGAUGUGCACUGCUCUGCUGAACCGAAAUUGUUUGGCAACGAGAUGGAUUGGUAUGAAAUUCUUCAGGUCGAACAGACAGCUGGUGAUGCAAUGAUUAAGAAGCAAUAUAGGAAGUUUGCUCUCCAACUUCAUCCUGACAAAAACAAGUUUGCUGGAGCAGAAGCUGCAUUUAAGCUGAUUGGGGAAGCUCAAAGAGUGCUUCUGGACAGAGAGAAACGAUCCCUUUUUGACAUGAAGCGCAGAGUUCCAAUGAACAAACCUGCUAUGUCACGUUUUAGUUCUACAGUGAGGAGCAAUGUUAGGCCCAACUUUACAAGAUCAAAUGCUCAACAGCAGCAGUCUAGGCAGCCAGUGCCGCAGCAGCAAAAUGGUGUCCGCCCUACAUUUUGGACAGUCUGCCCAUUUUGUUCUGUUAAGUAUCAAUAUUACAAAGAAAUUUUAAAUAAAUCUCUUCGUUGUCAAAAUUGCAGUAGACCCUUUGUUGCAUACGAAGUGGUUAUAAAAGGUACAUCAUCGCCAGCAACUAAUUCAACACAGCAAGCUUCUGACCAGCGAAAAGAUGGUUUAAAUCAUGGUGCCUUCAAGGCAGGUGCUGGAUCUCAAGGCAAUUCACAUGCUGAGAAGUCCAAUACUGGACCAUAUGAUAAAAAAGGACCUACUAAUGUCUCUGGAAAGCACAAUGGAAAGAGAAAGAGGAAGCAGGUGGCAGAAUCCAGUGAAAGCUUUGAUUGUAUAAGCAGUAGCGAUUCUGAAGGAGAUGCAGCUGCCAGCAAGGGUGGUUUUUCUGGUGUAGAAAAUAGCUCAACCUUUAGAGAACGGCAUCCGCGCAGAUCUACAAGGCAAAAUCAUGGAGUUUCCUACAAGGAGAACAGAAGUGAUAAUGAUGAUGGCUUGGUGAAACCUUCAAAAAGGGGUCUGGAGAGCAGAUCACUGCAUGGUGAUGGUAAAAGUCAUGGUGAGACAAUCAAAAUGAAUAAUCAGAAUGGUUUAGCUGGUGAUAUAAAAGAUGGACAUAAAGAGGUAAAACAGAAACAACAUUUGUAUUCUGAAGAGAGCUUGCGCAAUAGAAAGGAAGAACUUAAGACAGAUGCAGUGGGAGGGUCAAAGCAGAUGGAUGAAACUUCAGAGCGUUCUGGUCCAGCUUCAAUCUCCAAAGUAACAAACCAUCCAAAUGUUUAUGUCUUUCCUGAUGCGGAGUUCAGUGACUUCGAAACAGACAAGAAGAAAGAAUGUUUUGCUACUGGGCAGAUUUGGGCUGUUUAUGAUACAACAGAUGGCAUGCCCAGAUUCUAUGCUUUAAUCAGAAAAGUUCUGUCUCCUGAAUUCAAGCUGCAGAUAACAUGGUUUGAAUCACAUCCAGAUUGCAAGGAUGAAAUAAAAUGGGUAAAUGAGGAUUUGCCUGUUGCUUGUGGGAAAUUCAAAGUUGGUGACACUGACAUCACUGAAGAUCAUUUGAUGUUCUCUCAUCUGGUUUUGUGUGAAAAGAUUGGCCGUAAUACUUUUAAAGUGUAUCCUAGAAAGGGAGAAACUUGGGCCCUUUUUAAAAAUUGGGAUAUCAAAUGGUACAUGGAUGUGGAAUCUCAUCAGCAGUAUGAAUAUGAGUUUGUUGAAAUCUUGACAGAUUAUGUUGAAGGUGAGGGUGUAUAUGUUGUGUACUUGGCUAAGUUGAAAGGUUUUGUAAGUCUUUUCUUUCGAAAUAUGAAGGAAGAUAACAAAUCAUUUCAAAUUCCAAAACAGGAAUUAUUCAGAUUUUCUCACAAGGUUCCGUCUUUCAAAAUGACUGGUGAGGAAGGAGUUGGUGUACCUACAGGAUCUUAUGAACUUGAUCCUGCAGCUUUGCCAGUGAAUCUUGAAGAGACUGCUGUUCCUGAAAAUUUGGAUGUGAAGGUUACUCAUAGUUUAUCUGGCGAUGAGAAUACAAGGUCUUCCAAUAGGUCAGAACCCAAGGUUAAUUUGGAAAGAAGCAAUUUGGCAAGAGAGAACAAGGAUUCUGUUGAUGACAGUGAUAUUAGUUGUGCUCCUCCAGCAUCAAGCUCAGAAGCUAUUGAAAUUCCAGAUACUCAAUUCUUCAAUUUUGAUGCUGGGAGGUCCCUUGAAAAGUUUCAAAUUGGUCAGAUUUGGGCGUUUUACAGUGAUGAAGAUGGAUUGCCAAAGUAUUAUGGUCAGAUUAAUAAGAUUAAGAGCAGCUCAGAUCUUGAAUUGCAUGUUUCCUGGCUUACUUGCUGCUGGCUACCAGAGAAUACCAUUAAAUGGGAAGACAAAGAUAUGCUUAUUUCCUGUGGGAGGUUUAAAGUUAAUAAAACAGAUGAAUUUCUCAGUGUUUAUAGUACCACGUCUUCUGUUUCUCAUCAAGUUCAUGCUGAUGUUGUUAAGAAUAAGAGUUAUGCCAUCUUACCGAGGAAAGGUGAAGUUUGGGCGUUAUAUAGAAAAUGGACACAUAAAAUCAAAUGUUCUGAGUUGGAAAAUUGGGAGUAUGACAUAGUGGAAGUUGUUGAAGAAAGUGAUUUGUUCAUAAAUGUUUUAGUUCUGGAGUUUGUUAGUGGAUUUAGUUCAGUUUUCAAAGGCAAAUCAAAUGAAGGGUCGUCCGUCAACCUAAGAAUACCCAGGAAAGAGUUGCUCAGGUUCUCCCACCAAAUCCCAGCUUUCAAACUGACAGAAGAGCAUGGCAUUCUGAGAGACUUCUGGGAACUUGAUCCAGGUGCGCUACCAGUUCAUUACUAUGGCUUGAAAUGAAAGGGGCUGAGCCGAAGGCCAUGGUUUACUUGGUGAGCAAAAGUUGGAGACUCAGUUUUCUUUUUUAAUUAGAUGAAACUAGUGGCAGUGCAGUAAGUAGGUAGGACAGCCUAAGAUGUAACUUUUUGGUAUUGUUCAGGCUAACCUUUUGGAAGGUUUUUCUGCAUGUAGUAGUGGUAGGCUGCGAAUCACUAACGGAGGAAUUCCGUCAUGGCACGUCUAACACAUCUCUCUGUCUCCCCCCCUCCCCUUCCUUUCUGCGUUUUCCAAUCAAUGAUUUUAGGUAUUUGAAAUUUACGUGAAAAGCAAAUCCAAUGCUCAAGAAUGGACCUUGGCUGUUGUAAGAAAAGAAAAAGAAAGG